GGACGGCUCCCUCCUCUGAGUCCUUGAUGGCCUUUAGGAUCUCAGGGUCGUCGCCAAACACCUUCUUGUACGUCUCCUGCUUGUAGCGUACCCGUAGCUCCUGCAGAAGGCGACGAAGGAGGUGAAGUAAAGAGUCUGAACUGGAAGCUCUGGAAUCCUGACGCGGGUGAGAGGUAGUCCCGGAACUCCAUGAAGUCCAGGGGCGUCAUGGUCUCCAGGAUAAGGAACUGGUCCACGCACAGCUGGCGGGGAAGGGAAGGUCCUUGACACCACAACGCCACUCCCUCGGCCUGUCCUCGCGUGCCCAGCCUCACCCCGCCUCAUCCCCGCAGCCUGCCAUUCUCUCCUCCUUCAGUCACCCAUCACUGCUUGAACCAAUCUCUUCUUCACCGGUGUACUUGGCUCACAGUCAUAAUCCGUUCAAAAAUCGCCGUUACGAAGCAAAAAAACGGAUGCAUGACAAAUCUGUAUUCUCGAAAAAUUGAAAGAAAUCCCCCAUCAAAAAAGUUCCUGUGAUAAAAGUGCAGAAAAAUGCGUCUAAACAAUAUCUUUUACUCUGCAAUGCACGGCAGUGUGUGUACCAUUACCAAAUGUACCAGUAAAGGCUUCUUGGCCCUGAAUUUUGUUUACGUCGCACUUGUUAUGUCCCUUAUGCCACUUCAAUAUUAGGAAAUUCUCUCUCUCUCUCUCUCUCUCGAUCGAUCGAUCGAUCGACCCUUCGUCUUUCAGAAUAUAAAAGAUAAAGACAC